rnacentral:rRNA from 1 species
GGAGGGGCAAUACCGAAUAUUGUCCGGAGCCGUGAAGGGUUCCGGGGAAAGGGAGGCCUCUGAUACAAGCUUUCGCCUUAAGAUGAGCCCAUGGCCCAUCAGCUAGUUGGUAGGGUAAAGGCCUACCAAGGCUACGACGGGUCGCUGGUCUGAGAGGACGACCAGCCACACUGGCACUGAGAUACGGGCCAGACUCCUACGGGAGGCAGCAGUGAGGAAUAUUGCGCAAUGGGGGAAACCCUGACGCAGCAACGCCGCGUGUGGGAAGAAGGCCCUUCGGGUCGUAAACCACUUUUUGCACGGGACGAAAAAGGGAUAUCGAACAAAUAUCCCCGAUGACGGUACCGUGAGAAUAAGCCACGGCUAACUCUGUGCCAGCAGCCGCGGUAAGACAGAGGUGGCAGCGUUGUCGGAAUUACUGGGCGUAAAGAGUCUGUAGGUGGUUUGUC